CUUGUACUAUUUGGAAAGUUUUCCCUAUAUGAGAUCAUAUAAAAUUUAGCAAAUAACCAUUCGUUUCUUUAAUACGUAAAUAGGUACUGCUAAAAAAGUUUUCAAAGAUAAAAAAAUUUCAGUAUUUGCUUACUUUUUUCUUUCUUACAGUGAAAAGGUAAACAUUAACCAAUAUUAUCUGCUGUACCACAAAAUCUAGGUUAAUGAGGCACUGCUUUCUCCCUGCAGGAGAAACAAAGUUGGCUGGAAGAAAAUCCUAUCAUUUGCUGGCUCUUCAUUUGAGAGAUGAAAACCAGCUCUCAGUAGCAAGUACUGAAUAACUUUAGUAUUAAAGGUUUUUAGAUGACAGUCAGUAGGUCAUGUAAUAACUUUAUGAAACAAUUCAG